rnacentral:lncRNA from 1 species
GUGAAUCUUAUUUUUGUCGUUCUCUUGGCAAGCUGCUCUGGGAAUAAUACUCGCACUGUAAUUUGAUUGUGUAACACUUUCAGUUCAGGGGAUGCCACAAGGCACGCACGCAUUUCACUGAAAAGUGAAAUGCGUGUGAUGAAUUGAUCAGCAGCGAGUAGUAAAAGCGAUGUGUUCCUCUGCUGGGAAAUCGAAGGAGCUUGAGACGUGCCCUUUCUAACCUUCCUCACGUCAGCCAGACCUGAGAUACAGAACAGUAAUCCCGUGUUGUUCAGGUCUGGGUUCUGCUGUGUAAAAAUAGACAAUUCGAGUCCAUGGAGGAUGCAUGUUUCCCCAUUCGAGUUGAUGCCAUCUGCCAUCUGUUUGCAGGUAUGUGCCCUCCAAUUGUAGACACGGGCAUCGUGCCGCCAUGUGAUCCGCUACUGGGUUUAAAAGCUUAAGGCCCAAAGAGAAGGGGACGGUGUGCAAUUCCCCAUCGAGUCCAGUCCGAAGCGUUCAUCAUUCUGGGUAAGUCUGCACUCUUCUUCUUUUAUUCUAUCAACCCUAAGAUCCCUCAUAGGAUGCAUUUUCAAGACACUUGGGUUCACUCUUACACCAUCAUCUUCCUCUGAAUUGACUCACUCGUACAGGUGCUGCAUCCUAAAACAUGUCAGACACGGAGGCAACCGCAAACGAGGGGCCACGUAAGUCAGUUUGUCAGUUCUCAGACUAGGCUGCACAUUCAGACAGCUGCUUGUAGUCAGCAAGAAAUUCUGACUGGCUGGAUGCUACACGGCUGCUUCAUGUGACAGAAAUGCAUUUGUACUGCGAUUCUGCCUCAUGCACACCACCCAGUCGCUGGAAUAAGUGUUAGCUGAGCACGUUUCUGCAAAAGCCACGGAUAAGUUCAAACUGAACGUUUCUUUUCGUUGCAACUUUACGUUUGUUGAGGUUGAAUUUCUCUCGUGUCGCAGCGCUGUGCUUAGGUUUUUGUUUGUUCGGGGGGAAAAAAAACAUUUUGGUCACCACAAAAGCGUAGAAAAAUGUCUGCAAGGUCUCCUUAAAAUAAUACCUGCUUUUCAUGGCACAAAAACAUCUGGAAAUAUCCUGAGGUCUUCUUAGAGAUAUCCAGUAUUGUGCCUCGAACUGCGGUUGGUGUGGACGUAUCUGUGGUUUUGCAGAAAGUCACCUGCUAACAUCAUAUCCCAGCGACUGGGCUGUGCACGUAUCAGAAAUGCAUUU